CCGUGAGGGAAAGUUGCAAAGAACUUUGAAGAGAGAGUUCAAGAGUACGUGAAACUGCUCAGAGGUAAACGGGUGGGCCCUCGAAAUCCUGUGGCGAGAGGAUUCAGUGCGGCGCGUGGCGCGACCAGCGGGAAAGAUCCGAGCAGGGCUUCCCGAGACAGGGGCCGUCUCGCUGGUUCGUUUCGUCCCGCGUCGUACGCAUUUGUCUCUCGUCCGAAGGACGCUGCGGCCGGUCCGGCAGCGCAGACGUGACGGCCUGGAGGUCGGGAGCCGGCAGGUGGCCGGUGGUUCGCCUCGUGCGGGCCGCCGGUUGUUAGCCAUCCCGUCGGUGGCUCGUCGCCGGACCGUGGUGUCGCGAGUCCCCUCGCGGGACUCAUCGUCUCCACCCUCAUCGGUUGCGGGACCGACGUCGGCAGGCACCUGGCGCCGAGAAGCCGCACUCUUCCGGAGUGGGCUCUUCGGCGUCGGGGAGUUGUUGGCCGGCGCGGACCCGUCGGGGGCGCGGAGGCCUGCAGCGAGUAGGUCGGUCACCC
rnacentral:rRNA from 1 species